AUGCUGCAUGAGACCAAGAAUUUUCUAUCAUCCAGUUUUGAUAUGAAAGAUCUUGGUGAAGCCUCGUAUGUCCUCGGCAUCGAGAUUCAUCGAGAUAGGUCCAGAGGAACGUUAGGACUAUCUCAAAAGGCAUACUUUGAGAGAGUACUGAAAAAAUUCAAUAUGCAUAAGUGCUCACCCUCACCUGCUCCUAUAGUUAAGGGCGAUAAGUUUGGGACAUUUAAAUGUCCGAGGAACCAAUGUGAAACUGAUCAGAUGAAGUCGGUUCCUUAUGCUUCAGCUGUCGGAAGCAUCAUGUAUGCUCAAGUGUGUACACGCCCAGAUUUAUGUUUUGUAACCGGGAUGCUUGGCAGAUACCAAUCAAAUCCAGGACCGGACCACUGGAAGGCCGCAAAGAAAGUCUUGCGUUAUAUGCAAGGAACUAAGGAUUUCAUGCUUACAUAUAAAAGAACCGAUAACAAAGAACUGAUAACCUAG
rnacentral:rRNA from 1 species